UGUCAGAGUGAAUGCAUGCGAGUUCAAAACAGAGACGGUAAUAUGUUUAUAAAUCUCCCUCCAAGAUAUCAUUGUCUUAGUUCAGAGGUAAAGACAAUGCUUGUCAAAGCACAAUAUCAGAACCAAAAGAAGUUCAUAAAAAUCCCAGAGGCUUGCUUUGAUUUAUUUCUAGCAGAGGUGAAAGAGAAGUUUUCAUUACCACAGGAUCUUGUAAGUACAGUUACAGAUGAAGCUGGUACAGAGGUGGACAAAGAUGUGUUUCCUGAUCUUAUGAGCACCAGUGGACUGCUUCUUGUCAUAAAUGCUUUU